UCGUGUCUUCACUAGACGUGAUGAAUCGACCCCCGCUGGAUCAAUCGCUCCGGAGUUUUGCCAACAUUGUUCUUGAAUUGUGAACACCAGAAAAGGACACUGUAGUGAGGAGGAGUGGCCCCCUCAGAUGCAGACGCGGAGGGAACGCUACAAGCUGCCUGGUGGGAGGAGUCAGGAGGGCCACGCCCUGCACGCCGGAAGCAAAGGGGCAGGACAGGAAGGGGAAUUAUAAAAGGCCAGCCCAGCUGCACAGUUGGGAAGAAGCUGCUGGAGGCAAUAGAUGCUUCUUCCUCACUGCUGGAGGUGAGCACCAAGGAGAACUGCUGUUGCCCCAGGGACCAGCAGGAGCUUCCAGGGAGCCCUGUUGCUCUCAAGGCAGAGGAGCUGCUACCACUACCCUUGACCGUGUACCCAGAGGAGGUUGAGGAUGACCCCUGGAUCCAGCUUUAUCCGAGGGCCUCAAGAUGGGGACCGGCUCCAGAUUCCAUUCAGGUGGACCAGCAGGUGAAGAGUGGACCUCAGGAUACAGGCAGGUGUUGGCUCUGUUCAAUGUUGAUGCCUCUUCUGUUCUUCCCCUGCGACAUCAUGGGCAUAAGUAAAAUCCCGAACAAGGAUGGCAGUUGGCAGCUCACCCUCGCGUGCAAGUAUGAUAAACCCUCCCACAACCCUACAGCACGAUGCUCAGGCCUGCACACCUGAGGUAAACACAGCACUGUGAUAUUCCCCUUUCGAGGUAGAUAGCAGCACUACCAGCACUCUGCCACUCAGAUGGGCAGCCCUGUGUUGCUGACGUGCUAGCCCCAUAUA